rnacentral:rRNA from 1 species
GAUGAACGCUGGCGGCGUGCCUAAUACAUGCAAGUCGAGCGAACGGACGAGAAGCUUGCUUCUCUGAUGUUAGCGGCGGACGGGUGAGUAACACGUGGAUAACCUACCUAUAAGACUGGGAUAACUUCGGGAAACCGGAGCUAGUACCGGAUAAUAUUUUGAACCGCAUGGUUCAAAAGUGAAAGACGGUCUUGCUGUCACUUAUAGAUGGAUCCGCGCUGCAUUAGCUAGUUGGUAAGGUAACGGCUUACCAAGGCAACGAUGCAUAGCCGACCUGAGAGGGUGAUCGGCCACACUGGAACUGAGACACGGUCCAGACUCCUACGGGAGGCAGCAGUAGGGAAUCUUCCGCAAUGGGCGAAAGCCUGACGGAGCAACGCCGCGGGAGUGAUGAAGGUCUUCGGAUCGUAAAACUCUGUUAUAGGGAAGAACAUAUGUGUAAGUAACUGUGCACAUCUUGACGGUACCUAAUCAGAAAGCCACGGCUAACUACGUG